rnacentral:rRNA from 1 species
GGGGAGCGGUGCUACCAUGCAGUCGACGAACUCUUCGGAGUUAGUGGCGGACGGGUGAGUAACGCGUGAGAAUCUGCCUCUAGGUUUGGGACAACAGUUGGAAACGACUGCUAAUACCAAAUAUGCUUAUAGUGAAAGAUUUAUUGCCUGGAGAUGAGCUCGCGUUGGAUUAGCUAGUUGGUGGGGUAAAGGCCUACCAAGGCGACGAUCUAUAGCUGGUCUGAGAGGACGAUCAGCCACACUGGGACUGAGACACGGCCCAGACUCCUACGGGAGGCAGCAGUGGGGAAUUUUCCGCAAUGGGCGAAAGCCUGACGGAGCAAUACCGCGUGAGGGAGGAAGGCUCUUGGGUUGUAAACCUCUUUUCUCAAGGAAGAAUACAAUGACGGUACUUGAGGAAUAAGCAUCGGCUAACUCCGUGCCAGCAGCCGCGGUAAUACGGAGGAUGCAAGCGUUAUCCGGAAUGAUUGGGCGUAAAGCAUCCGCAGGUGGUUAUGCAAGUCUGCUGUUAAAGAGUGGAGCUUAACUCCAUAAGGGCAGUGGAAACUGCGUGACUAGAGUGCGUUCGGGGCAGAGGGAAUUCCUGGUGUAGCGGUGAAAUGCGUAGAUAUCAGGAAGAACACCGGUGGCGAAAGCGCUCUGCUAGGCCGCAACUGACACUGAGGGACGAAAGCUAAGGGAGCGAAUGGGAUUAGAUACCCCAGUAGUCUUAGCCGUAAACGAUGGAUACUAGGCGUUGCUUGUAUCGACCCGAGCAGUGCCGUAGCUAACGCGUUAAGUAUCCCGCCUGGGGAGUACGCACGCAAGUGUGAAACUCAAAGGAAUUGACGGGGGCCCGCACAAGCGGUGGAGU